UACGUAGGUCCCGAGCGUUGUCCGGAUUUAUAGGGCGUAAAGCGAGCGCAGGUGGUUUAUUAAGUCUGGUGUAAAAGGCAGUGGCUCAACCAUUGUAUGCAUUGGAAACUGGUAGACUUGAGUGCAGGAGAGGAGAGUGGAAUUCCAUGUGUAGCGGUGAAAUGCGUAGAUAUAUAGAGGAACACCGGUGGCGAAAGCGGCUCUCUGGCCUGUAACUGACACUGAGGCUCGAAAGCGUGGGGAGCAAACAGG
rnacentral:rRNA from 1 species